GACGAACGCUGGCGGCGUGCUUAACACAUGCAAGUCGAACGGAAAGGCCCUGCUCUUGUGGGGUGCUCGAGUGGCGAACGGGUGAGUAACACGUGAGUAACCUGCCCUUGACUUUGGGAUAACUUCAGGAAACUGGGGCUAAUACCGGAUAGGAGCUCCUGCUGCAUGGUGGGGGUUGGAAAGUUUCGGCGGUUGGGAUGGACUCGCGGCUUAUCAGCUUGUUGGUGGGGUAGUGGCUUACCAAGGCUUUGACGGGUAGCCGGCCUGAGAGGGUGACCGGCCACAUUGGGACUGAGAUACGGCCCAGACUCCUACGGGAGGCAGCAGUGGGGAAUAUUGCACAAUGGGCGGAAGCCUGAUGCAGCAACGCCGCGUGCGGGAUGACGGCCUUCGGGUUGUAAACCGCUUUCGCCUGUGACGAAGCGUGAGUGACGGUAAUGGGUAAAGAAGCACCGGCUAACUACGUG
rnacentral:rRNA from 1 species